rnacentral:rRNA from 1 species
GAUGAACGCUGGCGGCGCGCCUAAUACAUGCAAGUCGAGCGAGAAGACGUAGCAAUACGUUUGUAAAGCGGCGAACGGGUGAGGAAUACAUGGGUAACCUACCCUCGAGUGGGGAAUAACUAGCCGAAAGGUUAGCUAAUACCGCGUACGCUCCUUGGACUUCGGUUCAGGGAGGAAAGCGAUACCGUGGGUAUCGCGCUCUUGGUUGGGCUCAUGUCCUAUCAGCUUGUUGGUGAGGAACGGCUCACCAAGGCUUCGACGGGUAGCUGGUCUGAGAGGACGAUCAGCCACACUGGCACUGCGACACGGGCCAGACUCCUACGGGAGCAGCAGUAAGGAAUAUUGCGCAAUGGGCGAAAGCCUGACGCAGCGACGCCGCGUGGGGGAUGAAGGU